rnacentral:rRNA from 1 species
UACGUAGGUGGCGAGCGUUGUCCGGAAUCACUGGGCGUAAAGGGCGCGUAGGCGGUCAAUCAAGUCGCAUGUGAAAUACCAGGGCUCAACUCUGGGGGGUCAUGCGAAACUGAAUGACUUGAGUGUAGUAGAGGAAAGCGGAAUUCCUGGUGUAGCGGUAAAAUGCGUAGAGAUCAGGAGGAACACCGGUGGCGAAGGCGGGUCUCUGGGCCGAUACUGACGCUGAGGAGCGAAAGCGUGGGGAGCAAACAGG